ensembl:lincRNA
GUGGAGACUGCAUGCAGCUACAGUCUCCCCAUCCCCAUGGUAACAAGGAAAAUGAAAAGAAAGGGAGAGGUCACGACUAAGAGUCAACUAGGAUGGAAGAAAUUCUUCUCUGCUGAUGAAUCAGGUUUUCUCGGCUACUGAACUUCCCUGUUUUUAAUGAAGGAGCUGAAAUCGGACAUCAAUCUCGGCUGACCUCCUUCGCCUUCUGGGACCCAGAACACCUCUUUGCCGAAUCAUCCUCCGUGGACCAGGGUGAUUUGCCUGUGACAAAAUUAGCCUCUCCUCUUCAUUAUUCACAGUUCCAAGUCUUGCUUCAAUUGAAAGCUUUUCUUCCCAGCAGAAGCCUGCCCCAUUCCAGAAGUGUUUGCAAAUCCUUAAGGGCAAAUAUAUCUGUGGAUUAGAGUUAUGGAAGAAGGACCGUGGGCCAUUUUGGAAGGCAGGUUCCCAGCAUGAAGUGGUUCGGUGCUGCCUGAGGACAGAGAGCAAGUAGAUGGCUGCUUCUCACAGUUCUGCAUAGUGCCUCCUCACGCUGGCAGAGCUCCUGUGUCCCUGGGAUCUGCAGAGCGUGGCCAGCCAAAUGAAAGAGG